rnacentral:lncRNA from 1 species
UUCGUGAAUGAGUGAAUCAGCUGAGGGAUAUUUAUGACUUUGGCUUGUGUCUCGGCUAUUGAGAGUGACUAUGUGUGAGUGAAGAAGUGGGAGCAGGGGCAGCCACAUGGGUCCAGCUCUGCAGCUGACCCACCAGCCAAUGCCAGAGGAGGGGACAGGAGGAGAGAGGAGGAGCAGAGUGGGUUGGACCAGGUCGACCCAGAAGUCUCAAAAGGCUGGAAAAUUUCAGGGCGUUUGUCAUCCCAGGGCCGCCUAGUGGGCAGGGAAGUCUUCCACUCUGUGAUCUCGGUCUCACUCAUACCGGAGCCUGCAGCGGCCCUGUUGCGGUCUCAGUCUUCAGCCCGACAUCAUGGGGGCGCCAAAGCACAGGGGCUCAAAAUGGUGAGGCCGGGGAACCGGGCGCUCCCAUCUCUGUCUACGUAGAUACCUAGUCAAACCGAAGGGGGAAGCUUCCUAGCAUCCUUAAGCCCUCCUUUCCAUCCGGUCUGCAUUUCCACUUUUCAUUGCAAUCUGCUUCUCUUCUGCACCGCCCCCUCUCCUCCCCCACCCUUCUCCCGUCCCUUUUCCUCCCCACCCCACCCCUGCCCCCGCUUCUUUCUCCUCUUCUUUCUUCCUCUCUACCCUCUGGCCUGGGGACACCGGUGCUGGAGAAGACCCUGGGAACGGGCAGAAUCUGAGCCGCGUCUCUGAGUCGCAGUGGGAAGGCGGCUCAGGAAAUGCGCCCUCCGCUGGCGCUGGGUCGCGGUUCUGGCUGCGUUACUUUUUCCUUGCAUCUGUGGCCCGGCGCGCCAGCCUGGACACUAGAUCCGCAAGAAGGGAGUUUUCCCAGGGCCGGCUGAAGAAUGAGAAGUCCGAGCUGCGGGGACGUUGGGGGUCUGUGCUUAGCGGCCACAGCCUGCCCACCACGGGUUCCCGCCACCCCGCCUCCCCACCUCCCUUCGCGCCAGGGCUGAAAGUCCCAGGCGCCCAAUGCGUGCCCAAGAACGAGCCGUGAACCUUUUAUCUACCCGUCCCCUUCCCCGCCAUGGACCCAGGACGACACCCCACACCCAGACACCACUCUUUCCAGGGGCAGAUGCUCCGGCGCGCCCCGCGCCCUGAAGUUCAACUUGGAAUCCAGGUCCGCGCGGGACCCCGCCUAGCGCCCCAAGCGCACAGGCUGAGCGCCCCGCCCUGGCCUCCUGGGCCUGCGGCCUCAGCGCGAGAGCCCUGGCCCCCUUCCCGCCGCGGGUCGCGGUCGGGAAAGCGCGCCCUGCAAGGGGGUUUUGUAGAUAAACAAAAGCGUUUGCUCUUCUGGUUUUCUUUUAUUUUCUUUAUUCGCCUGUCCCUUCCUUCUUAAUCUCCCUCUUCGCUCUUGUUUCUUUAACUUAUUUCCCUUCCUCAUUUUCCCUUUCUUUUCGUUCGCUUUUCCUUGUCACUCUCCUUCUUGUUCUCUUCUGUCUCUUUCUGUAUCUCCCUCUUCCAUUUUGGCCCCUUCUCUGCCUCUGGGUUUCCCUUUCCCGGGCCCCUCACUCUUCCUGGGCUAGGAUUGCGCCGUCUCCCUGCAUCAUUUUUCCUGGCUCCGCUGCCUCUUUCUCACUUUUUCGUUCUCCCGGCGGCCACCGUCUGGCGGGCUUGGGUCCGGCUCCCCCGCCGCCGCAGUGAUUUAUUCGCUUCACCCGGCGGAAUCAGGUGCUGAACCGAGCCCCGGAACGAGAGAACAGAUUUCUCCCAGGAAAGUGGACUCAGAUUAGCACGCAAACAGUGAGAUGCUCGGCUUGAGUCUACGCGCGGGCGAAGAUGCCUCUGUCGCCUCAAACAGUGUCCUUCGCGACGGCGGAAAACUACAGCCCGCCCCCGCUCCCGUGCCUGCUCAGGAAGCCGUGACCAAGCCAGUGCCCGCCGGUGCCCGGAGUGAAGGUGGAAAAAGCCGAGUGCUCCUGCUCGGGGGCGGGGUUGAGAGGGGGAGAUUAAUCCGGGCAAGCCAAGGGGACCUUAGACUUGCAGCCAGGGCCGCCACCCGAGGAGCCCGCAUGCAGGGACGCGCCUGAAGGCUUAGUCAAACCCGGGGAAAUGCCCUCCCCCGCCUGCAGAAUCCCCACGCCGUCUCUUACUUCCUCCCUCUUUGCCACUGGCGAGCUUACACGUGCACACACACACACCCCUCUCUGUCUGUGACCGCAACAAACUUUGUGAAACUUGAACCGCUGGGUGCAAAGUUCACGCCCUUUUCUCCUUUCCUCUCUUGCCUGGGCCGGCUCCUCCUGGAGCAGGGAGGGAAGAAGUUCUUGGCCUCCAGACCUGGGAGAGGAGUUUCCGAAAGUCAGGGCCUCGCCUCGCUGUGACAUUAGACCCUUGCCACCCACCAGACCGAUGGACACUAAACACUUUCCUUGUCGGAAGGCGCUAGUAGUUGCAGCGGCCAGGCUUGGCAGGGCCCUGGUCGACCACCCCACCACUGCCCUGGCCGGACUUUCCCAGGGCGUUGGUCUCCUGGUCCCUAUUAAGUCGGGGCUGUCCUGGGCUUGGAGCCCAGGUUCAGGGCUGUCAGCCCCUUGCCAGCUGUCUGAGCUCUCUGCCUUUCUAGUUUAUUUUCCCCCAGCUCUUGCCCUGGGUUAGCUCUCUCCCAGCCCUCCACUCUGUCUCUGUCUCCGACUCCAUCUCUGGCAGGGCUGCCACUGUCUCUCUGUCUCUCUGUCUCUCCCUGUCUCUCUGUCUCUGUCUCUCUUGUUUGUUUCAAGGCGCGGACACUGAUUGUGCCUUAUGAAGUUCUAACUGGUUUUGUGUCAGGAAGAUCUUUCUCGCCGCUACCCAGCCUGGCGUGACGGAUUAAACAUCAACUAGUUAAAUAAAAAUUAAUAUCAACUGCCUCCUAACUUCUAAUGUCAUGUUGUUUAUAACUAAUGAACUGAUUAGGGGAUAAACAUAUCACGAAGACAUUCCACUCUCCUGCCUCGGCUCCGCUGCCGCCUGGUACCCACUCCCCAGCAUGGCCUGCGGGUUGCCAGGCCAGAAGGAGUUGGGGGAGGGGGUUGCUGGAGGCGGAACAGGCUGGAGGGCCUGAGGGCUCCCUGGGGCUUGCUCCUCUUCCUGCCUUGAUCUCUUUACUCCCUUUCUCUCUUGUCUUUCCUUCUCAUUUCCUUCCUCUGUACAUUUCCUCUUCUCAGUCUCUCUUGUUCCCUUCUUUCCUUAUUUCUGUCUCCCUCUCUCCUUUUUUCCUCCUUUCCUCCCAUCCAUUCCUGUCCUCCUCUGCCCUGUGCUUCUCCGCCUCUGUCUCUGGUAGUGUUUCUCUCUCUCUGCCAGUCUGGGCCCUGAACCCUUCCCUCUCUGGUUCUCCUCUCUUCCUCCCUCUAUUGGAGUUUCUGCCUCUCUCUUCCCCCUUGUUCCCCAUCAUUCGGAUUCAUUCCUCCCUAGCCAGUGCAAAGCAUAAUGAUGACCAGUCCUUGUGACUAGGCCUCUGCCCUGCUACAAAGCAGGAGGCUGCAACCUCUCCCUCAGCACCUUGGUGGAGACUGAUGCUCCUCCCUGCUCCCCAGCUAUUUAGGGGAGAAGGGAAGGAACUAGAAGACGUGAGGGUCCUGUUUUUUAUUUCUCCUCUAUUUGAUCUGGAACAGGAGUGAGGAAAUAAAAAAUGAUUUUUUGAAAACUUUUGCUUUUCAUCUUGUCCCAGA